ensembl:snRNA U6 U6 spliceosomal RNA
CACCAAGGUAAAGAAAUAGAGUGUUAAACUAAAAUUAGAAUGAUACAGAGAUUAGCAUGACCCCUGUGCACGGAUUACACACAAAUUUGUGAAACAUUCCAUAUUUAA